CAGCAAUGCGUGGCAUACGGCUCAGUAACACGUAGUCAACAUGCCCAGGGGACGUGGAUAACCUCGGGAAACUGAGGAUAAACCGCGAUAGGCCAAGGUUUCUGGAAUGGACACUGGCUGAAACCUAUAUGGCCCCUGGAUUGGACUGCGGCCGAUCAGGCUGUUGGUGAGGUAAUGGCCCACCAAACCUGUAACCGGUACGGGCUUUGAGAGAAGGAGCCCGGAGAUGGGCACUGAGACAAGGGCCCAGGCCCUAUGGGGCGCAGCAGGCGCGAAAAUUCUGCAAUAGGCGAAAGCUUGACAGAGUUACUCUGAGUGAUGCCCGCUAAGGGCAUCUUUUGGCACCUCUAAAAAUGGUGCAGAAUAAGGGGUGGGCAAGUCUGGUGUCAGCCGCCGCGGUAAUACCAGCACCCCGAGUGGUCGGGACGAUUAUUGGGCCUAAAGCAUCCGUAGCUUGUUCUGCAAGUCUUCCGUUAAAUCCACCUGCUCAACAGAUGGGCUGCGGGAGAUACUACAGGGCUAGGAGGCGGGAGAGGCAAGCGGUACUCAGUGGGUAGGGGUAAAAUCCUCUGAUCCACUGAAGACCACCAGUGGCGAAGGCGGCUUGCCAGAACGCGCUCGACGGUGAGGGAUGAAAGCUGGGGGAGCAAACCGGAUUAGAUACCCGGGUAGUCCCAGCUGUAAAC
rnacentral:rRNA from 1 species